rnacentral:tRNA from 1 species
GCCGGCUUAGCUCAGCGGCAGAGCAGCAGUUUUGUAAACUGCGGGUCGUCGGUUCAAUCCCGACAGCCGGCUCCA